rnacentral:rRNA from 1 species
UACAGAGGUCUCAAGCGUUGUUCGGAUUCAUUGGGCGUAAAGGGCGCGUAGGCGGCCUUCUAAGUCGAACGUGAAAUCCCCGGGCUCAACCCGGGAACUGCGUCCGAUACUGGAAGGCUUGAAUCCGGGAGAGGGAUGCGGAAUUCCAGGUGUAGCGGUGAAAUGCGUAGAUAUCUGGAGGAACACCGGUGGCGAAGGCGGCAUCCUGGACCGGUAUUGACGCUGAGGCGCGAAAGCCAGGGGGAGCAAACGGG